rnacentral:rRNA from 1 species
UGCGUAGGCGGAUAAAUAAGUCAGUGGUGAAAUCUUUCGGCUCAACCGGGAAACUGCCAUUGAUACUGUUUAUCUUGAGUUCGGCAGAGGUAGGCGGAAUGUGUAAUGUAGCGGUGAAAUGCUUAGAUAUUACACAGAACACCGAUUGCGUAGGCAGCUUACUAUACCGACACUGACGCUGAGGCACGAAAGCGUGGGGAGCGAACAGGAUUAGAUACCCUGGUAGUCC